CCUACGGGUGGCAGCAGUGAGGUAUCUUUGUCUCUGAGCGCGAGCCUGAACCAGCCAAGUAGCGUGAAUGAUGACUGCCCUACGGGUUGUAAACUUCUUUUAUAAAGGAAUAAAGUGAGGCACGUGUGCCUUUUUGUAUGUACUUUAUGAAUAAGGAUCGGCUAACUCCGUACCAGCAGCCGCGGUAAUACGGAGGAUCCGAGCGUUAUCCGGAUUUAUUGGGUUUAAAGGGAGCGUAGAUGGGUUGUUAAGUCAGUUGUGAAAGUUUGCGGCUCAACCGUAAAAUUGCAAUUGAUACUGGCAGCCUUGAGUACAGUUGAGGUAGGCGGAAUUCGUGGUGUAGCGGUGAAAUGCUUAGAUAUCACGAAGAACUCCGAUUGCGAAGGCAGCUUACUAAACUGCCACUGACAUUGAUGCUCGAAAGUUUGGGUAUCAAACAGGAUUAGAUACCCGAGUAGUC
rnacentral:rRNA from 1 species